AUACGUAGGUGACAAGCGUUAUCCGGAUUUACUGGGCGUAAAGGGCGUGUAGGCGGUCUUGCAAGUCAGAAGUGAAAUUCCUGAGCUCAACUCGGGCGCUGCUUCUGAAACUGCAGGACUUGAGUGCUGGAGAGGAAAGCGGAAUUCCUAGUGUAGCGGUGAAAUGCGUAGAUAUUAGGAGGAACACCAGUGGCGAAGGCGGCUUUCUGGACAGUAACUGACGCUGAGGCGCGAAAGCGUGGGUAGCGAACAGGAUUAGAUACCCUGGUAGUCCACGCCGUAAACGAUGGAUACUAGGUGUAGGAGGUAUCGACCCCUUCUGUGCCGGAGUUAACACAAUAAGUAUCCCACCUGGGGAGUACGGCCGCAAGGUUGAAACUCAAAUGAAUUGACGGGG
rnacentral:rRNA from 1 species